UAUUGGUCAAUGGACGAGAGUCUGAACCAGCCAAGUCGCGUGAAGGAAGACGGAUCUAUGGUUUGUAAACUUCUUUAGUGCGGGAACAAAGCGGCGUCGUGACGCCGGAUGAGUGUACCGCAAGAAUAAGCAUCGGCUAACUCCGUGCCAGCAGCCGCGGUAAUACGGAGGAUGCGAGCGUUAUCCGGACUUAUUGGGUUUAAAGGGAGCGCAGGCUGCGAGGCAAGUCAGCGGUCAAAUGUCGGGGCUCAACCCCGGCCUGCCGUUGAAACUGUCUUGCUAGAGUUCGAGUGAGGUAUGCGGAAUGCGUUGUGUAGCGGUGAAAUGCAUAGAUAUGACGCAGAACUCCGAUUGCGAAGGCAGCAUACCAACUCGCGACUGACGCUGAGACUCGAAAGCGUGGGUAUCGAACAGG
rnacentral:rRNA from 1 species